AUCUAACCAAGUGAAAAUAUUUGUCGAUUGUUGACAUCGUUGUUGUUGUCAUUUCAAACCGUAUACUGUCAUGUUCAUUGAAAUUUUCUAAUAGUAGAUAUUAAAAUAUCAUAAUAAAAUAAAGACAUAAAAACUCAAAACAAUUAUGAAGUUGAAAUUUUUAUAAAUGGCUGAUUAUUUAGACUUUUUCCAAGAACAUUUUGCGGACGAAGACUCGGAGUUUUCAGACUCAGAUUUUGAAGGGUUUGAGGAAGAGGAUAUUGUGGAAAGGCAAGUUGAUUUGCGAUAUCGAAUGCGAGGAGAUUGCUGUGGAGACGAACCGCUACGCUGAUCAGCUAAUUGCAGCGAAACAGCCAUUGCUACCUUUUUCAGGGUUUAAAAAAUGGAAACCUAUCACAGGUCGCGAGAUCAUGCAGUUCAUAGCCAUAAUCAUAGCCAUGGGCAUCGUCAACCAGACCAACGUCACAGAUUAUUGGUCAAGACACAGUUUCUGGAAAGACUAACAGCCAGACAUUUCCCUUCCAAGAUCCCCAAUGACAGAAAGUCAAAGUCUCUGCAAUGUGUUGUGUGCAAUCCUGCAGUUGCACAGAUGCUUGCCAGUCAGGGCCUUCCCAAAAAACAUAGACCAGGUCACGAAACUGCAUUUAAAUGUAGACAGUGUGAUUUGUCACUGUGUAUAGUUAAUGUAUUGAAUUGCCAUGAUAUGUAUUUGUAUUGCAAAUUAUGCUAUUAACUAUAGAUGAGUCUUAUACAAAUUAUACCAUUGAAGUAGUACUAUGAUCGUCAUACUUUUAAAUUGUAGUUUUUAGUAGAUGUGUUGAUUUGAAACAU